AAAAAAAUUGUUGAAUAUCGCUACAAUCGAUAUGUUUUUGAAAUCUACAACUUAAGAGCAUUCUACUAAUGCAAAAAUCAAUCAAAUCGGAGCAUUUUAAAAAAAUUGUGUAUACAGAGUGAUCCAAAUAAAUUAUUUCAAAAUACAGAGUGAUUCAAAUGACAAAAAAAAAAAAAUUGUUGAAUAUCGCUACAAGCGAUAUGUUUUGAAAUCUACAACUUAAGAGCGUUCUAUAUAUGCAAAAAUCAAUCAAAUCGAAGCAUUUUAAAAAUAUUGUGUAUACAGAGUGAUCCAAAUGAAAAUAUAAAAAUACAGAGUGAUUCAAAUGACAAAAAAAAAAUAAUUGUUGAAUAUCGCUACAAUCGAUAUGUUUUUGAAAUCUACAACUUAAGAGCAUUCUACUAAUGCAAAAAUCAAUCAAAUCGGAGCAUUUUAAAAAAAUUGUGUAUACAGAGUGAUCCAAAUGAAAAAUAUAAAAAUACAGAGGUGAUUCAAAUGACAAAAAAAAAAAAAAAUUGUUCAAUAUAACUACAAUUGAUAUGUUUUUGAAAUCUACAUCUUAAGAGCAUUCCAUACGCAAAAAUCAAUCAAAUCGGAGCAUUUUAAAAAAAUUGUGUAUACAGAGUGAUCCAAAUGAAAAAUAUAAAAAUACAGAGUGAUUCAAAUGACAAAAAAAAAAAAAUUGUUGAAUAUCGCUACAAUCGAUAUGUUUUUGAAAUCUACAACUUAAGAGCAUUCUACUUAUGCAAAAAUCAAUCAAAUCGGAGCAUUUUAUAAAAUUGUGUAUACAGAGUGAUCCAUAUAAAAAAUAUAAAAAUACAGAGUGAUUCAAAUAAAAAAAAAAAAAAAAAUUGUUGAAUAUCGCUACAAUCGAUAUGUUUUUGAAAUCUACAACUUAAGAGCAUUCUACUAAUGCAAAAAUCAAUCAAAUCGGAGCAUUUUAAAAAAAUUGUGUAUACAGAGUGAUCCAAAU